rnacentral:rRNA from 1 species
AGUGAACGCUGGCGGUAGGCCUAACACAUGCAAGUCGAACGGCAGCACAGUAAGAGCUUGCUCUUACGGGUGGCGAGUGGCGGACGGGUGAGGAAUACAUCGGAAUCUACUUUUUCGUGGGGGAUAACGUAGGGAAACUUACGCUAAUACCGCAUAUGACCUACGGGUGAAAGCAGGGGAUCUUCGGACCUUGCGCGAUUGAAUGAGCCGAUGUCGGAUUAGCUAGUUGGCGGGGUAAAGGCCCACCAAGGCGACGAUCCGUAGCUGGUCUGAGAGGAUGAUCGGCCACACUGGAACUGAGACACGGUCCAGACUCCUACGGGAGGCAGCAGUGGGGAAUAUUGGGCAAUGGGCGCAAGCCUGAUCCAGCCAUACCGCGUGGGUGAAGAAGGCCUUCGGGUUGUAAAGCCCUUUUGUUGGGAAAGAAAAGCAGCAGGUUAAUACCCCGCUGUUCUGACGGUACCCAAAGAAUAAGCACCGGCUAACUACGUG